AUAACUCUAACUCUGUUCUGCUUUAUAAAGGUGAAAAUAUAAAAUACCAUUAUGUACUACAUAAUAUGAUUACUUAUUCAGCAUUUUCCAUAAUAUUAAUCGUUAUAUGGAUCAAUUAUCAUUUUAAGUUCGCGGUGAUUUUGUCAAUAAUCUUCGCCUCUGUACGUAGUGAUAGUGGUUUUUCAAUCAACAUCAACUCAACUAUCAAGUAAGUUCAUAUGAACAUCAUUAGUAUUAGGCUUUAGUUUUGGAAAAAGAAACCGAAAAUUACUUGACAUCAAAAAUUUGAAUUUGAAAAACCAGUGUCAGGGAAGAUUAUCAUCAAAUAAAAAUAAUAUAAUCAGGGAAGAACGGAAAGAUGACGAAUUGACGAUCAAUUGAUAAAUACAAGUUGAACGAAGUACCGCCGACAAUACCCGACGGCUUCCGAGUUUUUGCACCGGAAAAAAAAACUAGUGCACUUUAACGUCUAGUCCCCUCCCCUCUGUUUCCUUUCUGAAGUGAAACACAUCAGUCGGCUCGAAAAUUCUCUUUGUAGCUGGGUGACCGGAAGGUGCAAAAAAAUGGAAUAAUCAUUUUUUUUAUGUUUAAAUUUGUUUUCCGACAAAUAAAAACAAAUAUUUUCGAAUUU